rnacentral:snoRNA from 1 species
AAGGUAGAUGAUGAAGAUGUGAUCUCGUAUAUUAUUGCGGGACUCGACGAGGACUAUGAUCCAGUAGUUUCCUCACUGGUUGGACGUCCAGAUCAGAUCACCGUCAGCGAGGCCUUUGCUCAGCUUUGUAGCUUUGAGC